rnacentral:rRNA from 1 species
UACGUAGGGGGCUAGCGUUGUCCGGAAUCAUUGGGCGUAAAGAGCGUGUAGGCGGCCCGAUAAGUCCGCUGUGAAAGUCGGGGGCUCAACCCUCGGAUGCCGGUGGAUACUGUCGGGCUCGAGUACGGAAGAGGCGAGUGGAAUUCCUGGUGUAGCGGUGAAAUGCGCAGAUAUCAGGAGGAACACCUAUUGCGAAGGCAGCUCGCUGGGACGUUACUGACGCUGAGACGCGAAAGCGUGGGGAGCAAACAGG